UACGUAGGUGGCAAGCGUUACUCGGAAUCACUAGGCGUAAAGCGCAGGUAGGAGGUUUGAUAAGUCUGUUGUGAAAGCUCCCGGCUUAACUGGGAGAGGUCAACGGAAACUAUUAGGCUAGAGUGUGGUAGAGGAAGAUGGAAUUCCCGGUGUAGCGGUGAAAUGCGUAGAUAUCGGGAGGAAUACCUAUGGCGAAAGCAGUCUUCUGGACCAUCACUGACUCUGAUCUGCGAAAGCUAGGGGAGCAAACAGG
rnacentral:rRNA from 1 species